ensembl:lncRNA
AGUGAAGUGGGAGCCAAUUCAGAUGCCAACCAUACUGGAAGGUCCACUUGCAUGUCCCUGCUUACAGGUGGAUGCUGCAGCUCCAUCAAGUAGUGCCCAGUUAUCAAGGAUGAGAUAUUUUAUCACAGUGUGGAGAAAAAUACACUGAUCUCUAUCUACCGGCUCAGCAGAACAGAAUGAAAUCUCCAGAGAAAACAAGCAAGCAGAAGAAACAGCACAGUAUGGAGAUGCUCUGAAACCAGGACACCCACAUCCACACCCUUCUGCAAACUAUGUCAUGGGUUAUUACAGAAUUACUUCUGUUUCUGUAAAACAGAAAGAAAAAUGUUUCCUUCUCACUGCAUAUUUUAGCACUUCUCAUUUAUUUUCCUCCUACUCUCCAUUUAGUUUGACUCAGUUAAGUAUACCUUUCUCUUACAUCAAGCACCUAAAGUAGCUUAACAGUCUCUGCCUUUUCAACCCAAUCAUCCACGGCACCAAAUAGCUAGUAACUAAGAAGGUUCCUGCAGCAUACCCAAAAUUGGGUAAUACUAUCUUAGAAAACUCUGUGACACAGAUAUCACAAAAUACAAGUAAUAUUGGAUGUACAGGGGUAUGUGAUAUGCCCUGGAUGUUGAACCUAUGAAAAAGUACAGCUGAAAAGCAGGCUACACGUUGAAGAACAUCUUCUUUGCUGCAGGAAGAAAAUAAAGUGCAGCCCUUAUGGAGUAAGCCCAGACAGCCACAAGCAAAGACUUCUGGCUGAAUGCUUGCCUGAACUACUAAGGUGGCCACAAGAAGAUCUUCUGCACAGAAAUGAGAAAUGCUGGAAGUAUUGCUUGUAGCAAAAGCUCACCUAAUGUGUUCUCUAAACCACGCUUGAUUCGAGCUUGCUGCUUCUGCUUUAGGAGCAUUAGAAUAAUUCUGAAACUAUGCAAAAAAAAGUCAAACGAACAAGUUAAACCAAACAACAACAAAAUCAACAACAAAAAUCAAAGCAAACAGAAAAAGACACGCAAGGGGGAAGUAGAGCAGUGAUAAGAAAUAGAUGAUUUGAUGAUUAAUAGAUUAGUGCAAACUAUGAUACCAUGGUUAGUGAAAUAACACACUGUGGCAAGAGGAAAGGCAAUAACAAGAGAGGGAAACAGUUGUAUCUCACUCAGCACUGCCAGGGACUAUAAAAGAGUGGAAGAGUGUUCUCCUGAUCUUGGUAAUCCCUCUACAGAGGGAAGGUCACAGGACAGCUUUUGAGAGUAACUGACCUGGGAGCUUCCUGCUCAUCAGCGGCCACUCUUUCCGCACUACGUUACUCCAGAAAACAGAACCAAUGCCUCAUAGUCAACUUCAACCACCAAGAAAAGGUAGUAGGAAAGCAGUUAACUUUGACUAGAAAAAAAGGUGUAGGAUUUUCAGAACCUUUUUGGCUCAGAAGAGAAGAGGUUAAAGCAGUAGUUUCACUGAUGAAAAAGAAACCUGACAAAUAGCCAUUAAUCUUUGGAUCAUAUUAUAAUCUGAAUUUAAAACUGUUUUUUGUGGAUUUUGAAGCACAUGGGAUUUAUCACUGUGUGAGACUAUCAGCAGCAUGGACCACAGGAACUAGAAAACAAGACUUAGAAUGCAUGGCUUAAUGUAUUCAAUUAAUUCAUUUUGCAGAAGGGAAGGUUUAAAGGUGACAUAAUUGCUGAAUAUAGCAAGUUACACAUCAGAAAGCAUUUACUAGGAAGCAGAGGUAAGCACGCAGGCUUUUCUAUCUUUCUGACAAAGAUGUAAUGUCAGCCAAUAGCUGGAAGUUUACAAGAAAAAUCUGUCUUACUUAAGUAAUUUCUGGACAGCUGGAACUGCAACAGCUUCACUGGGGAAGUCACCAUCUUUUGAAGACUUUAUAACCAGGCUGUAUCUUUCAAAAACACACUUACUAUGGAGUUUUGGAGGGUAAUGUACUACAGGGUUUGCAAAGGGCAUAUUCAAUCUGGAUAUUUCCUCUCCUGAGGCCACGAUGCCUCUUUAGCACAUUCAUACAGCAAAGUGAGGUAGGGCUGAUUCCAGAGCAGCCCACUAUGGCUGCUUUAGUAUGAGUGUCAGAGAGAAGUCCAGGCACUGGGUAAGCAGCCAGAGUCCAGUGCCCCCAGCUACCCUCACACAUUUGAAAGAACAGACCGACAACUUCAUGCCACAAACACCUAGGAGUAUAUCAUGAUCAGUUAAGAAUAACUAGCCCACCACAGGGAUCACGUAUCUUCCUCUGAAGCACUUGGCAGUAGCUAGAGAUAGUAUACUAAAAGAGACAGACCUUAGGGCAGACACGGUCUGGCAGUUCCCAUAUCCUUGGCACAGGCUCAUCAGUAGACACAGUGUCCUUGGAGGUCUCCUGUGCUUGCACUGACCAGAGCUGACCCUACUUAAUUUAUGAGCUCUUCUGAGAUCACAGUCUCAUCCACUGUGGCUCCAGGCUGUAUUGAAAUGAACUUUAUUAAAAUAAAUUCCAGCUGCUUGGAAGGAGUUAGAGAAACGACAGAAAGAAGGCAAAACCCUUCCAUUCCCUAACUCACUAAGAACAGAAGAGAAAAGUAGUUACAGGAGACUGAGUAAAAGCAGAGAGGGAAUUCAUCUGGCUUAACUAAAAGAGCAGGAGAAAAAAAAAAUGGUCAAAGGGUUUUUGUUUGUAUACUUUUUGCUUAUAAAACGGGAUGGGAAUGAAUACUAAGGCAGAACUCACAGCCAGGCAGGGCAAACAGGUUCAAAGUACAGAGUGACUAAGGGUCAGGAGGGCCCUUGAUAAAGCUUCUGACUGAGGGUGGGAUGCAUAUCAAUAAAUCAGAUUCAUUUGC